GACACCUGUCUUCUAUUCCACUUCAUUUCGAUGUUUCUAAUUCUUUCUUGGUUCUUCAGGGCAUUAUUGCUCUGUAAAUUUUCUUUUGCUUUCAUUUUUUGUCCUUCCUUAAACGAUGGAACAAAGAUAACUAAACAAGACAUAUAUUGCAUGCCUGUCUUUGCUGAACUGAGAAAGAAGGGGAAAUUCUUGGUGUGCUCAGCCGGACAAUGUAACAUCUGAGGACUACUUUGCAAUCCUUUUGUUUAUCAAUUUAAAAUAUAAAACUCAAUAGCUUUUCAAUAGCAUUUCUGAGUUCCUUUCAAGGGCUUUUGCAGAUGUAUAUGAUGUUAAAAAUUUUUAUUCAGUACAAUUGUUUGUUUAUUCUAAUAAUCCAGCAAAUUUUUAUUUUUCAAAGCACACAUCAAUUUUACUGUUCGCACGGGCAACCACUACUAGUUACUUGCUAACAAACAGUUGUUAAGGUUGUUUUCGCUUUUGACUUUAAACAUGGAUCUAGCUAGUAAUGCAGUAUCGGUCCACAUUGGUAUUGUUACGUUGGAUUUUGUCCUCUAUUCAAUUGCUCUUCUUAUAAUCUUCCCUUGGACUCUCUGUUUCAUGCUUGCUGAUGAUUAAGGCUCAUAAAAUAUUUUGUGAGUUCCUUGUUUCUUCUAUUCUUUUUUAUUUUUCAACUGCAUUUUCCCUGUUUUAUGAUUAUUAGAUCAUAGAUAUUUUCUUUUUCUUGUUUAUGAUGCAGAGAAGGAGAAAAUAAUAAGUUUUCGUGCUUAUAUAGAGCAAUUGUCUUUGCUUUUGUAUUUUAUAGAGCAAUUGUCUUUGCUUUUGUAUUUUAUAGGACUUUUCUGGAUAAAGGUGGUGACCAUACCAACUUGCAUGCAACUUGACUAUUUUAUCAGGUCAUGGUUGUAAAUUAAAGUACAUCUUGUGUGGUGCUUAAAUAAAUGCCCUCUCCAUGGCACGAAUUCUUCAAAAUGUGGAAGAGAAGCUCCAUCAAGAGACUACCUACCUUUCCACCUUUAGCCGUUUCGAGGAUAUCGAGAUGGAAAAGCAGAAGUGUGAGGGAGAGUGUAGCAACAGGUUUCUAUCACUUCAAAUCCUCCUGGAAGAACUUCAGCCUAUCUGACCUAAAAAAUAUGCUACGAAUAAUUUUAGCGAAGGCUCAAAGGAUAAACUAGAUUGGGCUGCCAGAGAUAUUAAAGCUGAUAACAUUCUACUUACGGAGGAUUUUGUGCCUCAGGUACUAUACUUGCAUUUAAGAUUGAUAAUUAAGGGAAGAAAAGAUUAUAUCCAACAUAUAUGUUGAGAUCAUCUGUGUUACAUAAGUAGGUUUUUCCAUAGUUGCUCUGCAUAUAUAUGUUUUUUCAUAUUAGCCUGAAUGCUGUGAAGAGAGAUGUUAAAACAGAUCACGUACCUUCGCUAAAAUUAAUGGUAGCAUUCUUCAGGUCAGAUAGGUGAAGUUCUUCCACGAUUAUUUGAGUGGAUAGGAACCUAUUGGUACAUUUCCCUCACACUUCUGCUUUCUCUUCUUGAUAUCCUAGGAACGGCUAAAAGUGGGAAGGAAGCUAGUCUCUUGAUGGAACCGCUUCCACAUUUUGAAGAACUUAUGCCAGGGAUAGGGAAUAGUGAAUUCGACAAGCAGAUUUGAGAAUCAGAGGGUUAGCUUUAGGUGAAUUAGAGUCAUUACUCAGCUUCUUAUGCAUGCUCCAAUAACUCCUCUUGGAAGAAUAUAUUCUCUGCUUGUAUAUGGUCAAAAGUACUUAACUUUAAGACUGACAAUUAAGUGCUACACAGUAAAUUUCUUAACUUUGUAGGUUAGGAGACCUUGGCUCAUAAAUGAUUGAAUGUGAUUGUUGGUUUGUGGUGGAUUUUGUUAAUGAUUAUUGGCGGUGGAUUUUGAGUUGUUGAUAUAGGCAAUAGUUGGAAGAAAGUAAGAAAAAGAACACAAGAUGUUUUUAAGACAAGCAAAAGUCAGUCAAGAAGAUUAAGAUUGUAGCUUGUUAUGUAUUUUUUUGGUAAUGAAGAUAUUUAUUCCGCCCUGUUGUAAGAGUUAUUACAAAUUGGAACUUUUCUAGGACACAAAGUUCCUAGCUUGUCCAGUUCAAAAGUAGAAACAGCAAAAGGGGGCGGGGAGAAGUACAACAUAGGAUUUCCAAAAAAGUUCGAUUUGCUUCCAUGUUUUGCCAUAGCGUCAGCCACUCCAUUCGCUUCUCUGAAGACGUGAGUGACCUGAGGCUCGCCUGCUCUAGUAAGCAUCCAUCUGCAAUCAAUAAUCAAAUUUUGAUACGGACUAUUGUCGUUAGUAAGCAUGUUAACUAAGAUAUUGCAAUCUGUUUCAACCACUAGUCGCCUAAUGUUUUGUUGUAUUGUUAUUUUUAAACCCUGUAUAAGUGCAAGGCCUUCCAUGUAUAUGUUUGUAGUGUGGGGGAUGGACAUGUUAAAGCCUAUAAUCCAGCUGCUUUCCCAGUCUCUUCUAACCCCUCCAAUGCCACCCCUCCCAGGGUUGCCUAAGCUAGAUCCAUCUAUGUUUAAUUUAUAAAUUCCCCGAUCAGGUGGCUUCUAUUUUAUGUAGAUGGUCAUCCUGGGGUUAGGACUCUGGAAAGACUCUGUUAACAACUUAAAUUCCGUUGCACUCUUAACGAUAUUUUUUAAGGAAAGGGGAGAUUUUUUGUUGUUAAAGAUGAAAUUGUUUCUGUGAAUCCAGAUGUGCCAAAGGGUAAAGGGAAGGAUAUCUGCCUUAGAUAAAAAUCUGUUGAAAGAUGAUUUAUUGUGGCAAAGGGGUUUUAACCAGUUAUGCAUAGUAAGCUCAUUGCGAGGUUGAUCCGGAUAUUUGUAAGAAAUUCCCAAUUGGUCCCAAAUAGGUUUUGAGUGCCUGUAAUUAAAGAACAUAUGUUCCAUGUCUUCUUCUUCGUUUUGGCAAAUAUUGCAAAUGCUGGAGGUAAUGAUUUUCCUAUUAUGUAACAUUUUGGAGGUGGGUAACCUGUUGUGGACAACUGUCCAUAAGAAUGCCUUUUUUUGCUUGAAGUAUCAAGCUUCCAUAACCACGAAAAGUAAGUCAAGUUUCCUUCUUCUUUAGGCUGGGCUUUGAUAAUGUUGUAGGCAGCCUUCGUCGAGAAGGAACCAUUAGGUCCCUCUUCCCAAGCAAAUUUAUCUAUUGCCGACUCACUUUGUUUAAUAUAAGUGCUAAAAAUUUUCCUACGGAUGGUUUUAGGUAGUUCGAAAGAGAGGGUAUUGAUAUUGAAAAAUCCCUACACUAGAAUAGAACUUAGGGAUAAAUUUAAUUCGUUGAGGGGCAGAGGCCCCUGAAUGAGGGAACGUAGGGGCCCCGAGUCUAUGAUCCAGGCAUCAUGCCAGAGGUUGAUGGAUUCCCCCAUUCCCUACUUCCUAGUGUAUGCCCUUUUCGCAGAUUUCUCCUCCAAUACAGAUAUUUUUCCAGAUGUGAGUUCCUCCUUUUUUCUCUAAAUCCUUCCACCUGGAAGGAUUCAUAUUGAUGUUGUAUCUGUUUUGAAGGACUUGAACCCAAAGAGAUUGUUUUUCUCUUGCAAAUCUCCAUGCCAGAGUUGCAUUGAAUGAUUGGUUCUUCCAUUUGGCUUUAUACAACCCCAGACCUCCUUCUUUUUUGUCCCUAGUUACUAUGUUCCAAUUAAUAAGGUGACAUUUUCUCUUCUCAGAUGUGCUCCCCCACAGGAAGUUUCUUUGUAUUGUGUCGAUAGUUUUUAGGGUAGAUUUUGGGAGGCUAUAUAUUUGCAUGAUAUGGUUAGGGAUUGCUGCAAGAGUGGAUUUUAUUAGGGUAGUCCUACCUGCUGUGGUCAGGAGAUUUACUUUCCAUCCUUGCAGUUUACUGUUAAGGUUAUCAAUGAUAGGUUGGAAAUCUUUUUUGGAUGGGUUUGAGUUCAGGAUUGGGAAUCCUAGGUAUUUCCCUAUUUCAUUUGAGAGUUUCAUGGAUAAACAUUGGCUGAUGUAUUCCUUGUUUCUGGAGGAGGUAUUUUUGGAGAACAUAAUUUUAGACUUAUGAAAAUUAAUGGACUGUCCCGAAUAGUUGCAGAAUUUAUUAAGGGUAUCUAUUAUUGAAUUACAGCUUUUCUGGUUGGCUUCUGCCAUUAAGAUUAAGUCAUCUGCAAAGAACAGAUGAGAUAACUAUGGUCCUUUAUUAGACAAUUUGAUGGGUGUCCAUCUGCAGCAGUCAAUUUCAUGAUGUAUCAGUCUAGAUAGCAUUUCCAUACAGAUUAUGAAAAAGUAUGGGGAUAGGGGAUCCCCUUGUCUAAUCCCCCUUGUUGGUCUAAAAAACUCCGUACUAGACCCGUUUAUCAGGAUUGAAGUUUGAGUGGUCGAAAUGCAGGACAUUAUAAUAGCAAUCAUAUUUUUGGGAAAAUUUAAAGAUAUCAGAGAGAAUCUUACGAAAGACCAUUCUAUUUUGUCGAAGGUUUUUUCCAGGUCUAUUUUAAUUAACAUUUUCCCUUUCUUCCCUUUAGUUCUUUUGAAGUAGGACACUACUUCGUUCACAAUGAUGGCAUUAUCAGAUGCUCUUCUCCCUUAUAGGAAGCUUGUUUGAGUGGGGUGUAUGACUUUUGAGAGUAGAGAACUUUUGGUAGAAGAAAGGGUGGAGGCCGUCCAGUCCUGACGCUUUAUAAGGUUUAAAAGAGUCCCGUAGGUCAGGUUCUAUGCUCAGUGCAAGGUGGUCCCUAAUACUGAGAGUAGUAUAGUGAGACACAGGCGUUUGGUUAGUCAUGGAGGAAAUAUGACUAGUUGUAAAGAGAUUUUGGAAAAAUUCAAUAGUAUAGCUUGUUAUGUCACUUCUCAUGUGGAAUAUACAAAUGAGGUAGAAACAUUACUUGAAUUUAUAGAGUCCCUCUAAGUUUAGAAGAGGAUAUACUUUUCGAUUUUUUCUCACAUGCUUAACGUUCAUGUGAUCACAUGUAUAACGUUCAAAUGAUACCUCACGUGUAUAACCUUCAUGUGAUACCUCACGUGUAUAAUGUUCAAAUAAUAUCUCACAUUUAUUA